rnacentral:tRNA from 1 species
GCCACCAUAGCUCAGUUGGUAGAGCAAUCGCCUUGUAAGCGAUGGGUCAUCGGUUCGAAUCCGAUUGGUGGCU